rnacentral:ncRNA from 1 species
AACAAGGCAAAGCCAGAGUGAUCUGGUGACGCAAAGCUAUAGGGUCUAUUUAUUAGAAAAUACGACAGCCAGUUGCCGAA